GAUGAACGCUAGCGGCAGGCCUAACACAUGCAAGUCGAGGGGUAGAACACUUCGGUGUUUGAGACCGGCGCACGGGUGCGUAACGCGUAUGCAAUCUACCUUGUACAGGGGAAUAGCCCAGAGAAAUUUGGAUUAAUGCCCCAUAGUAUAUAACCUUCGCAUGUUGGUUAUAUUAAAGUUCCAACGGUACAAGAUGAGCAUGCGUCCCAUUAGUUAGUUGGUAAGGUAACGGCUUACCAAGACGAUGAUGGGUAGGGGUCCUGAGAGGGGAGUCCCCCACACUGGUACUGAGACAAGGACCAGACUCCGACGGGAGGCAGCAGUGAGGAAUAUUGGUCAAUGGGCGCAAGCCUGAACCAGCCAUGCCGCGUGCAGGAAGACGGUCCUAUGGAUUGUAAACUGCUUUUAUACAGGAAGAAACAACUCUACGUGUAGAGUCUUGACGGUACUGUAGGAAUAAGGAUCGGCUAACUCCGUGCCAGCCGCCGCGGUAAUAC
rnacentral:rRNA from 1 species